ACCCUUGUAGCUCAGCAGGAGAGAGCGCGCCGCUACGAACGGCGAGGUCGCAGGUUCAAGUCCUGCCAAGGGUG
rnacentral:tRNA from 1 species